ACAUACGACCAUACCUACUGGAAAACUCGGGAUCCCGUCCGCUCUCCCAGUGAUAAACCAGUAAGGGCCGAACUAGUAGUUGGGUGGGUGACCACCAGCGAAUCCUCGGUGUUGUAUGUU
rfam:Verticillium longisporum isolate VL1 genome assembly, contig: scaffold_313